ACGCUAGCUACAGGCUUAACACAUGCAAGUCGAGGGGAAACGGCAUUGAGUGCUUGCACUCUUUGGACGUCGACCGGCGCACGGGUGAGUAACGCGUAUCCAACCUUCCCAUUACUGUGGGAUAACCUGCCGAAAGGCAGACUAAUACCGCAUAGUCUUCGAUGACGGCAUCAGAUUUGAAGUAAAGAUUUAUCGGUAAUGGAUGGGGAUGCGUCUGAUUAGCUUGUUGGCGGGGUAACGGCCCACCAAGGCAACGAUCAGUAGGGGUUCUGAGAGGAAGGUCCCCCACAUUGGAACUGAGACACGGUCCAAACUCCUACGGGAGGCAGCAGUGAGGAAUAUUGGUCAAUGGACGGAAGUCUGAACCAGCCAAGUAGCGUGCAGGAUGACGGCCCUAUGGGUUGUAAACUGCUUUUGUAUGGGGAUAAAGUUAGGGACGUGUCCCUAUUUGCAGGUACCAUACGAAUAAGGACCGGCUAAUUCCGUGCCAGCAGCCGCGGUAAUACGGAAGGUCCAGGCGUUAUCCGGAUUUAUUGGGUUUAAAGGGAGCGUAGGCUGGAGAUUAAGUGUGUUGUGAAAUGUAGACGCUCAACGUCUGAAUUGCAGCGCAUACUGGUUUCCUUGAGUACGCACAACGUUGGCGGAAUUCGUCGUGUAGCGGUGAAAUGCUUAGAUAUGACGAAGAACUCCGAUUGCGAAGGCAGCUGACGGGAGCGCAACUGACGCUUAAGCUCGAAGGUGCGGGUAUCAAACAGGAUUAGAUACCCUGGUAGUCCGCACAGUAAACGAUGGAUGCCCGCUGUUGGUACCUGGUAUCAGCGGCUAAGCGAAAGCAUUAAGCAUCCCACCUGGGGAGUACGCCGGCAACGGUGAAACUCAAAGGAAUUGACGGGGGCCCGCACAAGCGGAGGAACAUGUGGUUUAA
rnacentral:rRNA from 1 species